rnacentral:rRNA from 1 species
UACGGAGGAUCCGAGCGUUAUCCGGAUUUAUUGGGUUUAAAGGGUGCGCAGGCGGAAGAUUAAGUCGGUGGUGAAAUUUUGCAGCUCAACUGUAAAAGUGCCAUUGAUACUGGUUUUCUUGAGUGUGGAUGAAGUAGGCGGAAUUUGUAGUGUAGCGGUGAAAUGCAUAGAUAUUACAAGGAACUCCGAUUGCGAAGGCAGCUUACUAAAUUACAACUGACGCUUAGGCACGAAGGCGUGGGUAUCAAACAGGAUUAGAUACCCCGGUAGUCCCU